UACGAAGGGAGCUAGCGUUGUUCGGAAUCACUGGGCGUAAAGCGCACGUAGGCGGAUUGAUAAGUCGGGGGUGAAAUCCCGGGGCUCAACCUCGGAAUUGCCUUCGAUACUGUCUGUCUUGAGUCCGGGAGAGGUGAGUGGAAUUCCUAGUGUAGAGGUGAAAUUCGUAGAUAUUAGGAAGAACACCAGUGGCGAAGGCGGCUCACUGGCCCGGUACUGACGCUCAUGUGCGAAAGCGUGGGGAGCAAACAGG
rnacentral:rRNA from 1 species